rnacentral:rRNA from 1 species
CAUGAACUUAGCUUGCUAAGUUUGAUGGCGACCNNNNNACGGGUGAGUAACACGUAUCCAACCUGCCGAUGACUCGGGGAUAGCCUUUCGAAAGAAAGAUUAAUACCCGAUGGCAUAGUUCUUCUGCAUGGUAGAACUAUUAAAGAAUUUCGGUCAUCGAUGGGGAUGCGUUCCAUUAGGUUGUUGGCGGGGUAACGGCCCACCAAGCCUUCGAUGGAUAGGGGUUCUGAGAGGAAGGUCCCCCACAUUGGAACUGAGACACGGUCCAAACUCCUACGGGAGGCAGCAGUGAGGAAUAUUGGUCAAUGGACGAGAGUCUGAACCAGCCAAGUAGCGUGAAGGAUGACUGCCCUAUGGGUUGUAAACUUCUUUUAUACGGGAAUAAAGUGAGGCACGCGUGCCUUUUUGUAUGUACCGUAUGAAUAAGGAUCGGCUAACUCCGUGCCAGCAGCCGCGGUAAUACGGAGGAUCCGAGCGUUAUCCGGAUUUAUUGGGUUUAAAGGGAGCGUAGGCGGACGCUUAAGUCAGUUGUGAAAGUUUGCGGCUCAACCGUAAAAUUGCAGUUGAUACUGGGUGUCUUGAGUACAGUAGAGGCAGGCGGAAUUCGUGGUGUAGCGGUGAAAUGCUUAGAUAUCACGAAGAACUCCGAUUGCGAAGGCAGCCUGCUGGACUGUAACUGACGCUGAUGCUCGAAAGUGUGGGUAUCAAA